rnacentral:rRNA from 1 species
CCCUUAGAUGUCCUGGGCCGCACGCGCGCUACACUGAUGCAUUCAACGAGUUUUACCUUGGCCGAGAGGCCUGGGCAAUCUUUUAAACCUGCAUCGUGAUAGGGAUAGAUUAUUGCAAUUAUUAAUCUUGAACGAGGAAUUCCUAGUAAACGCAAAUCAUCAAUUUGCAUUGAUUACGUCCCUGCCCUUUGUACACACCGCCCGUCGCUCCUACCGAUUGAGUGGUCCGGUGAGGCUUUGGGAUCUGAGCGGAAAGAGCGUUUCGCUGUUUCUGCUCGGAAAACUCAGUCGAACCUUAUCAUUUAGAGGAAGGAGAAGUCGUAACA